GCAAAAUAAUGAUACUCUAUUUUCCCUUCACAUCCGAUAUGUGGCCACAUGGUGGGCUCAGAUGGCCGGUGAAGGCUCCAGGGGGUCUCCAGCGCCCAGAGCCUCAGGUGCUCAGUGGAAAAAUACGGUUGCCAUCAGGAUGCUUGUUGAGUUUGUGCUGGUUUUCCCUAAAUUGCAUAAGCUUCGGGCCCCAAGAAAACUGGA